rfam:Bacteroidetes bacterium GWF2_41_31 gwf2_scaffold_525, whole genome shotgun sequence.
AAAAAAUGAAGACCAGAAAUUAAUGAUAAAACCGAGCGGAUUCCGAAAAGCUUUAUGAGUAGGAAAAAU